AGGAUCUAGCCAAAUGGAAGGUGCUGGGCUGGCCCGAUAAGGGGUGGAGUUAAGUGGAUCGUUAAGGGUGGAGUCGGGGCCGGGGCUGGGGCUGGGUCUGGCUGAGUGAAAGGGUGGCUGAUUAUCUUGGGAGAUUGGCUGGAAGGGGCAGGUUUGCGAAGGGGUGGGGUCUGCGCGAGGCUUUGGGGAAUGAAAGGGUUGAUAGAGCGGAAGGGGCGGAGAGAACGGACUGAGCUUGGGGGUUAAUUGCUCUGUUAAAGGGCAAGACUUUGAAAGGAGAAAGAAUAGUGUUAAAGGGAUGGAGCCUAGUGGAAUGGGCGGGACCAGGACCGCGUCAGGGGUGAAGUCUCCCCAGCCAUGACCUCCACCGGUCAGGAUUCCACCACACCCAAGGAGCGAAGGAGUAGGCACAAUCCCCACUCCCCCACCCAUGACUCCAGCAUCACCUCGAAGCGAGGUAUUAAAAAGGGUGCCAUGCUCCGCUCCAGCCCCAGUCUAGCGGAGGUAAAGAAGAAAGGCAGAAUGAAGAAGCUUAGGCCAAACAGCCGAGCAAGACCUCAUCAUGGGGCUGCAAGGGCUGGUGAGAGGCUCCUGGGACAAUCAAAAGGAUUCCUUCUAGCAUAUUUUAAUUUCAGGUAUUGUGUUGUUUAUUACUGUUUGUUUUUUAGUUCUUCAGG
rnacentral:lncRNA from 1 species